AUUGAACGCUGGCGGCAUGCCUUACACAUGCAAGUCGAACGGUAACGGGCCUUCGGGUGCCGACGAGUGGCGAACGGGUGAGUAAUACAUCGGAACGUGCCCGAUCGUGGGGGAUAACGAGGCGAAAGCUUUGCUAAUACCGCAUACGAUCUACGGAUGAAAGCAGGGGACCGCAAGGCCUUGCGCGGACGGAGCGGCCGAUGGCAGAUUAGGUAGUUGGUGGGAUAAAAGCUUACCAAGCCGACGAUCUGUAGCUGGUCUGAGAGGAUGAUCAGCCACACUGGGACUGAGACACGGCCCAGACUCCUACGGGAGGCAGCAGUGGGGAAUUUUGGACAAUGGGCGCAAGCCUGAUCCAGCCAUGCCGCGUGCAGGAUGAAGGCCUUCGGGUUGUAAACUGCUUUUGCACGGAACGAAAAGCCUUCUUUUAAUACAGGAGGGUCAUGACGGUACCGUAAGAAUAAGCACCGGCUAACUACGUG
rnacentral:rRNA from 1 species